AACGAACGCUGGCGGCAGGCCUAACACAUGCAAGUCGAGCGAGACCUUCGGGUCUAGCGGCGGACGGGUGAGUAACGCGUGGGAACGUGCCCUUUUCUACGGAAUAGCCUCGGGAAACUGAGCGUAAUACCGUAUACGCCCUUUGGGGGAAAGAUUUAUCGUAGAAGGAUCGGCCCGCGUUGGAUUAGGUAGUUGGUGGGGUAAUGGCCUACCAAGCCUACGAUCCAUAGCUGGUAUGAGAGGAUGAUCAGCCACACUGGGACUGAGACACGGCCCAGACUCCUACGGGAGGCAGCAGUGGGGAAUCUUAGACAAUGGGGGCAAGCCUGAUCUAGCCAUGCCGCGUGAGUGAUGAAGGCCUUAGGGUUGUAAAGCUCUUUCAGCUGGGAAGAUAAUGACGGUACCAGCAGAAGAAGCCCCGGCUAACUCCGUG
rnacentral:rRNA from 1 species